rnacentral:rRNA from 1 species
ACGCUCGACACCUACGGGAGGCAGCAGUGGGGAAUAUUGCACAAUGGGGGAAACCCUGAUGCAGCGACGCCGCGUGAGCGAAGAAGUAUUUCGGUAUGUAAAACUCUAUCAGCAGGGAAGAAACUGACGGUACCUGACUAAGAAGCACCGGCUAAAUACGUGCCAUCAGCCGCGGUAAUCUGAGCGGGCUGGCAAGGC